rnacentral:lncRNA from 1 species
AUUCCUAGCCGUGGCACUCAUGUUAAUGGCUUCGGUGCACGCCAAGUCGUCACCACCAGCUCCGACCCCUCCUCCUCCUCCUGUCAUAAAACCUGCACCGAAGCUAGUGCCAAAACCUUCACCGACUCCUGCUCUGACGCCUGCUCCAACGCCUGCACCCACACCAGUACCGACUCCUGCCCCGACGCGUGCUCCAACACCUGCACCCACACCCGCACCGACCCCUGUGCCGACUCCAGCCACUACCCCUGCACCGACCCCUGCUCCAACUCCAGCCCCAACACCCGCACCAAACCCUACACCGACUCCUACUCCGACGCCCACGCCGACCCCUACACCGACACCAACACCCACACCGACCCCUGCUCCAACUCCAGCACCGACCCUUGCACCGACACAUGCACCGACGCCCGUCCCAACCCCUGCUCCAACUCCAGCGCCGACACCUGCACCGACCCCUACACCGACUCCUGCUCUGACGCCUGCUCCAACGCCUGCACCCACACCAGUACCGACUCCUGCCCCGACGCGUGCUCCAACACCUGCACCCACACCCGCACCGACCCCUGUGCCGACUCCAGCCACUACCCCUGCACCGACCCCUGCUCCAACUCCAGCCCCAACACCCGCACCAAACCCUACACCGACUCCUACUCCGACGCCCACGCCGACCCCUACACCGACACCAACACCCACACCGACCCCUGCUCCAACUCCAGCACCGACCCUUGCACCGACACAUGCACCGACGCCCGUCCCAACCCCUGCUCCAACUCCAGCGCCGACACCUGCACCGACCCCUACACCGACUCCCGCUCCGACGCCCGCGCCAACACCUGCACCGACACCUACACCAACGCCUGCCCCGGCACCAUCCCAAAACCCAUGCCCUUCCGGCUUUCCUAACUCGGUCUCAUUUCUUCAAGGCGUCAAAGAUUAUCUUCUUCGCGGCAUCUUUCUCAUCUUGUCCCCUGUCAAGGUCACCCCAGGCACCAGC